ACUACGGGUGGCUGCAGUGGGGAAUAUUGCGCAAUGGGCGAAAGCCUGACGCAGCGACGCCGCGUGAGGGAUGAAGGUCUUCGGAUCGUAAACCUCUGUCAGCAGGGAAGAACGGUCACUGUGCUAAUCAGCAGUGAAUUGACGGUACCUGCAAAUGAAGCACCGGCUAACUCCGUGCCAACAGCCGCGGUAAUACGGAGGGAGCGGACGUUCAUCGGAAUUACUGGGCGUAAAGCGCUCGUAGGCGGUAUGUCAAGUAAAGGGUGAAAUCCCCGCUCUCACCGUGGGAACUGCCUUUGAAACUGGCAAACUGGAGUGUGUGAGAGGAUAGUGGAAUUCCAGGUGUAGGAGUGAAAUCCGUAGAUAUCUGGAGGAACAUCAGUGGCGAAGGCGACUAUCUGGCACAUAACUGACGCUGAGGAGCGAAAGCGUGGGUAGCAAACAGGAUUAGAUACCCCAGUAGUC
rnacentral:rRNA from 1 species